GACGAACGCUGGCGGCGUGCUUAACACAUGCAAGUCGAACGAAGUGGCGGACGGGUGAGUAACGCGUAAUCAACCUGCCCUUCAGAGGGGGACAACAGUUGGAAACGACGGCUAAUACCGCAUACUGAAGGAGGGGAUUGCGUCUGAUUAGCUGGUUGGGGGGGUAACGGCCCACCAAGGCGAUGAUCAGUAGCCGGUCUUAGAGGGUGGACGGCCAAAUUGGGACCGAGAAACGGCCCAGAAUCCUAAGGGAGGCAGCCGUGGGGAAUCUUCCGCAAUGGACGGAAGGCUGACGGAGCAACGGCGCGUGAGGUAUGACGGCCUUCGGGUUGGAAAGACCUGUUAGUCGGGACGCGGUACCGGAAUAGAAAGCCACGGCUAACUACGUGCCAGCCGCCGCGGUAAUAC
rnacentral:rRNA from 1 species